GACGAACGCUGGCGGCGUGCUUAACACAUGCAAGUCGAGCGGCGCGGCGAACGGGUGAGUAACGCGUGAGUAACUGCCCCCCUCGCUGGGAAAACAGCUGGAAACGGCUGCAAAUACAGGAUAGUGGGGGAUGGCUCGCGUCCUAUCGGCUUGUGGGUGGGGUAGUGGCCUACCAAGGCGACGACGGGUAGCCGGCCGGGGGGGGCGACCGGCCACCUUGGGCCUAGGUACGGCCCCAGCUCCUACGGUACGCAGCAGUAGGGAAUAGUGCCCAAUGGGGGACACGCUGAUGCAGCAACGCCUCGUGCGGUAUGACUGCCUUCUGGUUGUAAACCGCUUUCAUCCAUGACGCGGGAGUGGCAGAAGAAGCACCGGCUAACUACGUGCCAGCAGCCGCGGUAAUAC
rnacentral:rRNA from 1 species